rnacentral:rRNA from 1 species
AGUGAACGCUGGCGGUAGGCCUAACACAUGCAAGUCGAACGGCAGCACAGUAAGAGCUUGCUCUUACGGGUGGCGAGUGGCGGACGGGUGAGGAAUACAUCGGAAUCUACUUUUUCGUGGGGGAUAACGUAGGGAAACUUACGCUAAUACCGCAUACGACCUACGGGUGAAAGCAGGGGAUCUUCGGACCUUGCGCGAUUGAAUGAGCCGAUGUCGGAUUAGCUAGUUGGCGGGGUAAAGGCCCACCAAGGCGACGAUCCGUAGCUGGUCUGAGAGGAUGGGGAGGCAGACUGGAAGUGAGACAGGCUCCGUACGCCUGCGGGAGGCAGCAGUGGGGAGUAUUGGACAAUGGGCGCAAGCUUGAUCCAUCCAUACGGCGUGAGUGAAGAAGGCCUUCUGGUUGUACAGCCCUUUUGUUGGGAAAGAAAAGCAACAGGUUGAUACCCCGCUGUUCUGACGGUACCCAAAGAAUAAGCACCGGCUAACUUCGUG